AUUGAACGCUGGCGGCAUGCCUUACACAUGCAAGUCGAACGGUAACGCGGGGCAACCUGGCGACGAAUGGCGAACGGGUGAGUAACGCAUCGGAACGUGCCCAGUAGUGGUGGAUAGCCCGGCGAAAGCCGGAUUAAUACCGCAUACGACCUACGGGUGAAAGAGGGGGAUCGCAAGACCUCUCGCUAUUGGAGCGGCCGAUGUCAGAUUAGGUAGUUGGUGGGGUAAAAGCCUACCAAGCCUACGAUCUGUAGCUGGUCUGAGAGGACGACCAGCCACACUGGGACUGAGACACGGCCCAGACUCCUACGGGAGGCAGCAGUGGGGAAUUUUGGACAAUGGGCGCAAGCCUGAUCCAGCCAUGCCGCGUGCGGGAAGAAGGCCUUCGGGUUGUAAACCGCUUUUGUCAGGGAAGAAACGCUCUGGACUAAUACUCUGGGGUAAUGACGGUACCUGAAGAAUAAGCACCGGCUAACUACGUGCCAGCCGCCGCCGUAA
rnacentral:rRNA from 1 species